rnacentral:rRNA from 1 species
AGUGAACGCUGGCGGUAGGCCUAACACAUGCAAGUCGAACGGCAGCACAGUAAGAGCUUGCUCUUAUGGGUGGCGAGUGGCGGACGGGUGAGGAAUACAUCGGAAUCUACUUUUUCGUGGGGGAUAACGUAGGGAAACUUACGCUAAUACCGCAUACGACCUACGGGUGAAAGCAGGGGAUCUUCGGACCUUACGCGAUUGAAUGAGCCGAUGUCGGAUUAGCUAGUUGGCGGGGUAAAGGCCCACCAAGGCGACGAUCCGUAGCUGGUCUGAGAGGAUGAUCAGCCACACUGGAACUGAGACACGGUCCAGACUCCUACGAGAGGCAGCAGUGGGGAAUAUUGGACAAUGGGCGCAAGCCUGAUCCAGCCAUACCGCGUGGGUGAAGAAGGCCUUCGGGUUGUAAAGCCCUUUUGUUGGGAAAGAAAAGCAGCAGGUUAAUACCCCGCUGUUCUGACGGUACCCAAAGAAUAAGCACCGGCUAACUUCGUG